UACGUAGGGGCAAGCGUUGUCCGGAAUUAUUGGGCGUAAAGGGCGCGCAGGCGGUUUGAAUAGUCAGAUGUGAAAGCCCACGGCUUAACCGUGGAAGUGCAUUUGAAACUGUCAGACUUGAGUACCAGAGGGGAAAGUGGAAUUCCCGGUGUAGAGGUGAAAUUCGUAGAUAUCGGGAGGAAUACCGGUGGCGAAGGCGACUUUCUGGCUGGAUACUGACGCUGAGGCGCGAAAGCGUGGGGAGCAAACAGGAUUAGAUACCCUGGUAGUCCCUGAG
rnacentral:rRNA from 1 species